UACGUAGGGGGCAAGCGUUGUCCGGAUUUAUUGGGCGUAAAGAGCGUGUAGGCGGCCAAACAGGUCAGCUGUGAAAACUCGAGGCUCAACCUCGAGACGUCGGUUGAAACCGUUUGGCUAGAGUCCGGAAGAGGAGAGUGGAAUUCCCGGUGUAGCGGUGAAAUGCGCAGAUAUCAGGAGGAACACCAAUGGCGAAGGCAGCUCGCUGGGACGUGACUGACGCUGAGACGCGAAAGCGUGGGGAGCAAACAGG
rnacentral:rRNA from 1 species